rnacentral:rRNA from 1 species
UAAGUGAAGAGUUUGAUCCUGGCUCAGAGUGAACGCUGGCGGUAGGCCUAACACAUGCAAGUCGAACGGCAGCACAGGAGAGCUUGCUCUCUGGGUGGCGAGUGGCGGACGGGUGAGGAAUACAUCGGAAUCUACUCUGUCGUGGGGGAUAACGUAGGGAAACUUACGCUAAUACCGCAUACGACCUACGGGUGAAAGCAGGGGACCUUCGGGCCUUGCGCGAUU